rnacentral:rRNA from 1 species
GUGGGGAAUUUUGGACAAUGGGCGCAAGCCUGAUCCAGCAAUGCCGCGUGUGUGAAGAAGGCCUUCGGGUUGUAAAGCACUUUUGGCAGGAAAGAAAUAGUGCGUGCUAAUACCAUGCGCGAAUGACGGUACCUGCAGAAUAAGCACCGGCUAACUACGUGCCAGCAGCCGCGGUAAGACGUAGGGUGCAAGCGUUAAUCGGAAUUACUGGGCGUAAAGCGUGCGCAGGCGGUUUUGUAAGACAGGUGUGAAAUCCCCGGGCUCAACCUGGGAACUGAACUUGUGACUGCAAGGCUAGAGUGUGUCAGAGGGAGGUGGAAUUCCGCGUGUAGCAGUGAAAUGCGUAGAGAUGCGGAGGAACACCGAUGGCGAAGGCAGCCUCCUGGGAUAACACUGACGCUCAGGCACGAAAGCGUGGGGAGCAAACAGGAUUAGAAACCCCUGUAGUCC